rnacentral:rRNA from 1 species
CACCGAAGCCUUUGGCUCUUUGGCCACUUGGCAAUGUGGUGUUCAGGUUGGUCCGUAGAAGCACUGCUCCACUCUGAGUCCAGCAAUGAGUACGGUAGCUUGGACAUGGCCCAUGGAGGGUGAAAGGCCCGUAAGGGUGGAGAUCAGUCAGGCCAGUGCCUCUCUGGAUUGACCUUGGAGUCGGGUUGUUUGUGAAUGCAGCCCAAAGUGGGUGGUAAACUCCAUCCAAGGCUAAAUACAAGCACGAGUCCGAUAGCGAACAAGUACCGUGAGGGAAAGUUGAAAAGUACUUUGAAGAGAGAGUAAACAGUGCGUGAAACCGCUCAGAGGUAAACGGGUGGAGUUGAACUGCGUGCUCCGUGAAUUCAGCUGGUGAGGAUGUUAUGGGCUUGGUCAGAUUGGUUGGACACUGAGGUAUGCUUAGCUGCAUGUUCCAGCCUUCGGGUUGGUAUGCACGUUACGCUCAUCAUGCGUUGUGCGCCUUGGUUGUUUCCUGCCUCCUUGCCAGUGCACUUUCUCGGAGUGAUCACCAUGACCGGCGUUGCUGUCUGGCUGCUCUAGUCAAACUGGUCUUGCACCGUCCUUGUGGCGUUGUUAGGUCGGGAUGACAGGUAGCUCGUUGGCUUGCGUAUGCUUGCUCUCGGGCGUAUUCAGUUGAUUGGAGCGGGGCUGUACGGUACGUCGGAGCUGGCGGCUAGUUGUGCGUACCUGCGUAUCUUGUCUUUCGGGGGUUCCUGGUUUGGUUGCUACGUCGCCUGUCUCGGCAGGUCGAGUAAUAGCCGGGUUCCUUUCGACUGAUGAUUAUGCGGGCGGCACUUUAAAGGGCCAAUAGUCCGUGGUGUUGUGGUAGACUUCCACCUGACCCGUCUUGAAACACGGACCAAGGAGAGUAACAUGUGCGCGAGUCACUGGGCGUAACGAAACCCAAAGGCGUAAUGAAAGUAAAUGUCCGGCUUGUCUGGAUUGAGGUGAGAUCCUGCCGUUUCUCACGCGCGGUACUACCAAGCAUUGAGCGGUGGGCGCAUCACCGGCCCGUCCCAUGGCGUGGACAUGGUCAUUGAUCGUGCAUCGUCGGGGCGGAGCAUGAGCGUGCAUGUUGAGACCCGAAAGAUGGUGAACUAUGCUUGCGCAGGUUGAG